rnacentral:rRNA from 1 species
GGGGAAUUUUGGACAAUGGGCGCAAGCCUGAUCCAGCCAUGCCGCGUGCAGGAUGAAGGCCUUCGGAUUGUAAACUGCUUUUGUACGGAACGAAAAGACUCUUUCUAAUAAAGAGGGUCCAUGACGGUACCGUAAGAAUAAGCACCGGCUAAUUACGUGCCAGCAGCCGCGGUAAUACGUAGGGUGCGAGCGUUAAUCGGAAUUACUGGGCGUAAAGCGUGCGCAGGCGGUGAUGUAAGACAGAUGUGAAAUCCCCGGGCUCAACCUGGGAACUGCAUUUGUGACUGCAUCGCUGGAGUGCGGCAGAGGGGGAUGGAAUUCCGCGUGUAGCAGUGAAAUGCGUAGAUAUGCGGAGGAACACCGAUGGCGAAGGCAAUCCCCUGGGCCUGCACUGACGCUCAUGCACGAAAGCGUGGGGAGCAAAC